rnacentral:lncRNA from 10 species
CUGUGAGAGGGGCCGGCACCAGAGCCUGCAGUGCCGCAGCCCUGAAGAACAGUGCCUGGAUGUGGUGACCCACUGGAUCCAGGAAGGUGAAGAAGGGCGUCCAAAGGAUGACCGCCACCUCCGUGGCUGUGGCUACCUUCCCGGCUGCCCGGGCUCCAAUGGUUUCCACAACAACGACACCUUCCACUUCCUGAAAUGCUGCAACACCACCAAAUGCAACGAGGGCCCAAUCCUGGAGCUUGAAAAUCUGCCGCAGAAUGGCCGCCAGUGUUACAGCUGCAAGGGGAACAGCACCCAUGGAUGCUCCUCUGAAGAGACUUUCCUCAUUGACUGCCGAGGCCCCAUGAAUCAAUGUCUGGUAGCCACCGGCACUCACGGAUGUGGACAUUUUUGCCAUGGAAAAGUGGAAUUCCGGCUGGGUGCGGUGGCUGAAGCUUGUACUCUCAGCACUUUGGGAGGCUGAGGCCGGAGGAUCUCUUGAGGCCAGGAGUUUGAGACCAGCCUGGGCAACAUAGCAAGACCCCCAUCUCUACAAAAAGAAAAAUGGAAUUCUUUGGUGGAUUUCUCGUGGGUUGUGGGGAUUUGCUGAAGACAUCUUGGGCUUUCA